rnacentral:rRNA from 1 species
AAGCUCGUAGUUGAAUUUCGGGAUCAAAUUGUCGGUCGUGCCUCGGUACGUACUGGCGUUAUUGGUUCCUCCCUUCUGAAGAACCGCGAUGUCAUUAAUUUGGUGUCGCGGGGAAUCAGGACUGUUACUUUGAAAAAAUUAGAGUGUUUAAAGCAGGCUCGCGCUUGAAUACAUUAGCAUGGAAUAAUGAAAUAGGACGUUUGAUUCUAUUUUGUUGGUUUCUAGGAUCGACGUAAUGAUUAAUAGGGAUAGUUGGGGGCAUUAGUAUUCAAUUGUCGGAGGUGAAAUUCUUGGAUUUAUUGAAGACUAACUACUGCGAAAGCAUUUGCCAAGGAUGUUUUCAUUAAUCAAGAACGAAAGUUAGGGGAUCGAAGACGAUCAGAUACCGUCGUAGUCUUAACCAUAAACUAUGCCGACUAGGGAUCGGAUGAUGUUAAUUUUUUAAUGACUCAUUCGGCGCCUUACGGGAAACCAAAGUGUUUGGGUUCCGGGGGGAGUAUGGUCGCAAGGCUGAAACUUAAAGGAAUUGACGGAAGGGCACCACCAGGGGUGGAGCCUGCGGCUUAAUUUGACUCAACACGGGGAAACUCACCAGGUCCAGACAUAGUAAGGAUUGACAGAUUGAGAGCUCUUUCUUGAUUCUAUGGGUG